UAGUAGAGAAUGUUCUAGGCCAAGGC
rnacentral:piRNA from 2 species